UACGAAGGGGGCUAGCGUUGCUCGGAAUCACUGGGCGUAAAGCGCACGUAGGCGGGUCCUUAAGUCAGGGGUGAAGUCCCGGAGCUCAACUCCGGAACUGCCUUUGAUACUGGGGAUCUUGAGUCCGGAAGAGGUGAGUGGAACUCCGAGUGUAGAGGUGAAAUUCGUAGAUAUUCGGAAGAACACCAGUGGCGAAGGCGGCUCACUGGUCCGGUACUGACGCUGAGGUGCGAAAGCGUGGGGAGCAAACAGG
rnacentral:rRNA from 1 species